rnacentral:rRNA from 1 species
AACGCUAGCUACAGGCUUAACACAUGCAAGUCGAGGGGUAGCAGGGUAGCAAUACCGCUGACGACCGGCGCACGGGUGAGUAACACGUAUCCAACCUUCCCAUAACUCGGGGAUAGCCUUUCGAAAGAAAGAUUAAUACCCGAUAGUACUUAAGAAAGGCAUCUUUUUUAAGUUAAAGAUUUAUUGGUUAUGGAUGGGGAUGCGUUCCAUUAGAUAGUUGGUGAGGUAACGGCUCACCAAGUCUUCGAUGGAUAGGGGUUCUGAGAGGAAGGUCCCCCACAUUGGUACUGAGACACGGACCAAACUCCUACGGGAGGCAGCAGCGAGGAAUAUUGGUCAAUGGGCGAGAGCCUGAACCAGCCAAGUAGCGUGAAGGAUGAAGGUCCUAUGGAUUGUAAACUUCUUUUAUAGUAGAAUAAAGUGAUCCACGUGUGGAUUUUUGUAUGUAUACUAUGAAUAAGGAUCGGCUAACUCCGUGCCAGCAGCCGCGGUAAUACGGAGGAUCCGAGCGUUAUCCGGAUUUAUUGGGUUUAAAGGGUGCGUAGGCGGAAUAAUAAGUCAGUUGUGAAAGUUUGCGGCUCAACCGUAAAAUUGCAGUUGAUACUGUUAUUCUUGAGUGUACAUAAGGUAGGCGGAAUUCGUGGUGUAGCGGUGAAAUGCUUAGAUAUCACGAAGAACUCCGAUUG